UAAAUACUCAUUACAGAGGACCGGGUAAGCUCUGGGAGAGACCGGGAGAGAAAACAAACAAACCCCACAGGGUGGCUGAGAYGGGCGGUGCGGGGCUGAGGGAGGCCUCUCCCAGAGUAAUUCAAGUUCAAUAACUGACCCUUAACCUUACUCUAACUCGGGUUACACAGUUCUGGUGAGACAGAUUGUAGGCCCAGUUUCCUCACAGCUGUGGAUACUAUACACCUCUACAGGAGCUUUACACACACAGACACAGUACCAAAAACAAAACAACCCCCUCCACAAAAAAAAAAAAAGGUCAGUUGGCAAUAUCAACAAUCACUCUGAGUAUUCUAGCAUAUCAAAUGGCARCGUGGAUGACAGGUUCCCAUUCGGCGCACAUUUUGGGAUGAUGUAAAGAAACCAGGACCACACAGAGCCCCUUUUCAGAGCCAGGAAGCAGAGGACAUCAUUCACCUGCACAACUGCAGCUGGGCCAGUUUCACUCUUUUGCACUAAUGCAGAUCUGGAGCAAUCAAGAAGUUCAAUUGUCUGCAGAGGCUCAGCAGGAAAUGAGUCAAAGGUGCCUUCGCUGUUCGUUCUGAAGGCCUGAGGCAAAUUUCUGGACCCUAGCAA